UGGGAUGUGGUUCAGUGAUAGAAUGCUUGCUUCACAUGUGUGAGGCUCUGGGUUCCAUCCCCAGCACUGCAA
rnacentral:tRNA from 1 species